rnacentral:rRNA from 1 species
AUUGAACGCUGGCGGAAUGCUUUACACAUGCAAGUCGAACGGCAGCACGGGGGCAACCCUGGAGGCGAGUGGCGAACGGGUGAGUAAUACAUCGGAACGUGCCCAGUCGUGGGGGAUAACGCAGCGAAAGCUGUGCUAAUACCGCAUACGAUCUAUGGAUGAAAGCGGGGGACCGUAAGGCCUCGCGCGAUUGGAGCGGCCGAUGGCAGAUUAGGUAGUUGGUGGGGUAAAGGCUCACCAAGCCGACGAUCUGUAGCUGGUCUGAGAGGACGACCCGCCACACUGGGACUGAGACACGGCCCAGACUCCGACGGGAGGCAGCGGUGGGGAAUUUUGGACAAUGGGCGCAAGCCUGAUACAGCCAUUCCGCGUGCAGGAUGAAGGCCCUCGGGUUGUAAACUGCUUUUGUACGGAACGAAAGGCCUUCUUCUAAUACAGGAGGGUCAUGACGGUACCGUAAGAAUAAGCACCGGCUAACUACGUGCCAGCCGCCGCCGUAA